rnacentral:rRNA from 1 species
UCGAGGAUCUUCGGCAAUGGGCGCAAGCCUGACCGAGCGACGCCGCGUGUGCGAUGAAGGCCUUCGGGUUGUAAAGCACUGUCGAGGGGGAGGAAACCCGCAAGGGCUGACCUAUCCCUGGAGGAAGCACGGGCUAAGUUCGUGCCAGCAGCCGCGGUAAGACGAACCGUGCGAACGUUGUUCGGAAUCACUGGGCUUAAAGGGCGCGUAGGCGGGUCAUCAAGUCUAGGGUGAAAUCUUUCGGCUCAACCGGAAAAUAGCCCUGGAUACUGGUGGUCUCGAGGGGGGUAGGGGCAGCUGGAACUUCCGGUGGAGCGGUGAAAUGCGUUGAUAUCGGAAGGAACGCCGGUGGCGAAAGCGAGCUGCUGGGCCUCUUCUGACGCUGAGGCGCGAAAGCCAGGGGAGCAAACGGGAUUAGAUACCCCCGUAGUCC